CGGGGGGGGAGCUAUAAUGCAAGUCGAGCGGACUGAUGGGAGCUUGCUCCCUGAUGUUAUCGGCGGACGGGUGAGUAACACGUGGGUAACCUGCCUGUGAAACUGGGGUAACUCCGGGAAACCGGGGCUAAUACCGGAUGGUUGUCUGAACCCUUCGGUUCAGACAUUUGAGGUGGCUUCGGCUACCACUUACACAUGGACCCCCGGCGCGCUAUCUAUUUGGGGAGGUAACGGCUCUCCCCGGCGACAAUGCGUAUCCCACAUGAGAGGGGGAGCGGCCCCACUGGGACUGAGACACGGCCCACACUCCCACGGGGGGCGGCAGUAGGGGAUCUUCCCCAAUGGGCAAAAGUCUGAGAGAGAACCGCCCCGUGAGUGAGAAAAGUUUUCUGAUCUCAAAGCUCUGUUGUUAGGGAAAAAAAAGUGCCGUACAAAUAGGGCGGCACCUUGGCGGUACCUAACCCAAAAGCCCCGGGUAAAUACGUGCCCACAGCCCCGGUAAUACCUAAGUGGCAAGCGUUGUCCGGAAUUAUUGGGCGUAAAGGGCUCGCAGGGGGUUUCUUAAGUCUGAUGUGAAAACCCCCCGCUCAACCGGGGAGGGUCAUUUGAAACUGGGGAACUUGAGUGCAAAAAAAGAGAGUGGAAUUUCCCGUGUAACGGUGAAAUGCGUAAAAGAUGGGGAGGAAACACCAGUGGCCGAAGGCCGAGUCUUCUGGUCUGUAACUGACGGCUGAGGACGCGAAAGCGUGGGGGAGCGAACAGGAUUAGAUACCCUGGUAGUCCACCGCCGUAACGAUGAGUGCUAAGUGUAGAGGGUUCCGCCCCUUUAGUGCUGCAGCUACGCAUAAGCACUCCGCCUGGGGAGUACGUCGCAGACUGGAACUCAAGAUGACGAAUCGACAGCGUGGACAUGUGAUUAAUUCGAGCAAACGCGCCGAGGAC
rnacentral:rRNA from 1 species